rnacentral:misc_RNA from 1 species
GAUGAGGAACGUAGCGAAAUGCGAUAAGUAAUGUGAAUUGCAGAAUUCAGUGAAUCAUCGAAUCUUUGAACGCACAUUGCGCCCUCUGGUAUUCCGGGGGGCAUGCCUGUUCGAGCGUCAUUAUAACCACUCAAGCUCUCGCUUGGUAUUGGGGUUCGCGGUUCCGCGGCCCCUAAAAUCAGUGGCGGUGCCUGUCGGCUCUACGCGUAGUAAUACUCCUCGCGAUUGAGUCCGGUAGGUCUACUUGCCAGCAACCCCCAAUUUUUACAGGUUGACCUCGGAUCAGGUAGGGAUACCCGCUGAACUUAAGCAUAUCAAUAAGCGGAGGA